CUCUAUAAAAGGAGGACCAGGAGGCAGGAAAGACCACAACGUGAAGAGAGUCAACCAUAUUCUUCUCACAGCGAUCAUACAGAAACCGCAAGUUAGCCAUCAUGAAGACCUUCAUCGUUUUGCUGCUGUGCUUGGCACUGGUCGUGGCCGCCUUUGCCGUUGAGGAAAUGGACGAGGAUGACACCUUUGUUAAGCGGGCCAUGGAUGACCUGGCUCAGGUCAUCAAGCGAGGAAAGAAGAGGAACGCCUACUUCAACUGUGACGAUGAAUGGGGCAACCCAGGCUGCAUCUGCAGAUUGGUCAAGGGCAAGAAGUCUACCCUCAACUGCCUAUAGACUGAGCAUGCAGGCAAAGGUUCGGGCAAGAACUGACUACCACUGAAGGGAUUUUAGGACACUGAUUAUUAUCGUUUAACGACACGAAUAUCACAGAUGGACUUCCUGUAAUGCUUUAAUCAAUCUAAAUAGGGUUUUAGGCGGGUAGAAAGUAGGCACUUUGUGGUGCAAACGGCCGUUGGCACACUAAGAAGCGAAGGUUCCUCGAAAUCUGUUCUGUACUUAAUACUUCAUUAGCAGGGGCCCCUGCUAAUUAUCUUGUUUCUGCAUUCUUACUUCCCUCAUUACCGAGAAUGUACAGAUGAAAAACCACGCACGCAUUAAAAUGGCCGUAGAGCAGUAGACAGAAUGCCUAGUUAUACCUUUGAAGGUCUCUCUCACAUGACGUCACCUCCUACAGAUUGCCACGCGCAUCGGCAUUUUGGGCGUCAAUUUUUUGUGACGCACAUUGCCGCUGCGCCGUAUUUCGAAGAAAGUUCGAGCAACACGCAGUUGUAAUUUUCCUACGAAGAUGGCGUCCUAUGAAAGAGAUCUAGAAGAUUUUGUGCGAGUGUACUCAAUGGCCGUUGAUACACAAACUUAGAAAACUCCAUCAUGCGUUCACGUUCUUCACUUAACUCAGCUUGUUAUUAAUUUAAAAAUGUAAAAACUAAAAUAUGCAAUUAAACUGCCCAGGUUGUUAACGCGGUUGUGUAAACUACAUACGGACGAAAAGCAAUAAAUAAAACUAUUCCUCAUGCAAAACAA